UGGGGAAUAUUGCACAAUGGGCGCAAGCCUGAUGCAGCAACGCCGCGUGAGGGACGACGGCCUUCGGGUUGUAAACCUCUUUUAGUAGGGAAGAAGCGAAAGUGACGGUACCUGCAGAAAAAGCACCGGCUAACUACGUGCCAGCAGCCGCGGUAAUACGUAGGGUGCGAGCGUUGUCCGGAAUUAUUGGGCGUAAAGAGCUCGUAGGCGGUCUGUCGCGUCUGCUGUGAAAACCCGAGGCUCAACCUCGGGCCUGCAGUGGGUACGGGCAGACUAGAGUGCGGUAGGGAGAAUGGAAUUCCUGGUGUAGCGGUGGAAUGCGCAGAUAUCAGGAGGAACACCGAUGGCGAAGGCAGUUCUCUGGGCCGUAACUGACGCUGAGGAGCGAAAGCGUGGGGAGCGAACAGGAUUAGAUACCCUGGUAGUCCACGCCGUAAACGUUGGGCGCUAGAUGUGGGGACCAUUCCACGGUUUCCGUGUCGCAGCUAACGCAUUAAGCGCCCCGCCUGGGGAGUACGGCCGCAAGGCUAAAA
rnacentral:rRNA from 1 species